GCGGGCACAUCACCGUUAGGUGGACGAUUUGUCCGGUGUUCGAACAAUAGCGCGGUGUACGUGAAAAUAACGGUGAUAGUUUUAUUCGUCGGCCGAGUAUCAAUCCGAUCGAGAGAUCGGUAUUUGUUCGGCGGUCUCAAACACAAAUUACCAACGUGCCCUAUAUUUACGCGUCGGAGGUUCGCGGGCAAAACGCCAUUUUGCUUAU